AAAUAGAGGAGACCGUAAAGUGUCUUUUGAUACUUUAGCUAAAGUGAUAUGAUGAGCUAAACUUGAGAUUUAGACAACAUUAGCACACAAGUAAGUAUGGGGCAAGUUGUCUCAAUGACUUUGGGGCAAGUCGUCACAUCUGACAACUUGCCCCUGUACAAACAAACACAUCGAACAUGCUCAGAAAACAUGAUAUAGAAAAGAAUAAGCCUCAAUCUAGCAAAAAGCUGUUUCAAAAGAAAGGGAAGCAGAAAUCUGGACCUAUGAAAAACAAGGCAGCUAAAAGAAGAAAAAUCAUGCAAGAGUCAUCAUCAGAUGAUGAAGAGUGCUUCUGCCUCGUCUGUGUAGAGCCAUUUUCAAAGAGUCGUCCAAAGGAGACCUGGGUAAAAUGUGUAAAAUGCAACAAUUGGGCCCAUGAUGCUUGCACCUCAGGCCAGGCAAUUUAUGUGUGUCAGAAUUGUGAUUCUGGAGAUGAGUCCUAUUAGUCAUACAGGGCAUCUGUUUUGUUCAGAGGUUAAACAUGUUAAGUUAAGCAAGUUAUCUGCAGCGUUCCAUUCAGUUAUCUGGUUUUAUGUGAAAGCCAUAGAACAUUUGAACCAAAGUUCAAAGUAAAGUGGUCUUGCCACUUAAUUGAAAUGUGCAUUAUUUGGAUUGAAAUAAUUGUUUUUCCAGAUUCUCCAGGCACGGAUGUUUAUAUUUCCAGUUUGGUUUGAGUUUAAAAAUUAAAAUCAAUAUUCACAAUUAAGUAGUUGUGUUCUUAUUUUUAGAUAAUCUACACUGAAAAAAAUGGACUUAGUGGGUCUUUGAAUUUAAAUAAAAUAAACAUGUAUAUGCAACACAAAAUAUUUAUAUUCCUUGUGUAAACAUAAUUUAAUUGAUUAGGAUUAAAAUGUUUUGUUUGAAUGUAAAAUGAACACAUUAUUCUCACAUUGAUUAAAAUUGAUUGAAUUGAAUACUUAAAGCAAUAAAAUUGGGUUUGCACAAAAAACGGCACCUCCUGAGCAGCAGGGGCAGUAUAGCUCAAUGAGAAGGACAUCGAUUGCCAUAAAAGAAGAAUAAAGAUCGUUUGUUUUGGGCGCCAAAAUGAAGACUCAGCAGCAGUCAGUCAGAAGAACUCUCUCAGACGGACACCACGUUAUUAAAGUCCAUCAUCCUUGCAUGCGCUACACACUCAAAAGCAUUGAUAAAUGCUGAAUUUAAAAGAAUCACUACUGUCUUAUGUUACUGCGUGUCACCUGGACCUCCAAUCCAAAAACCUGAUGAAACUCUUCUAUCAGAAAGGAGGACAGCUAGCAAAAAGACUUCAAACAAUUAAUGAUCAAAUGACAGAAGGCAUGGAUGAAGUCAGCAUCAGUGAGGUCAUGUGAAGACACCAAUGUUGGGAUUUGUGCUCUCAAACAACAUGCUUCUUGUGAUGAAGAAGAGGAUCUUUGUAUAGUCCUGGAAGGCAUGAAGGUGUUGCAACAUCGUGCCAUGUUGUUUGAGCUGAUGUAUGCCUUAAACCUGAGCUAUCCUGAUCUCCGCUUUAUUUUUGAGGAAAUCCAAACUGCAUUGAGAGUAACUUUAACGAACAGUUUCUUUCAGUGAAAGGAUCAGAAAGACUGUGCUGCUCAUUUUUGAAUUUUUUAUCUGUUUUAAGUGUUUUCUCUUAUUAAUACAUUAACAGUUUGCUGCUCGGGGUUGAUUUUGGAAAUGGUUGUUGUAUUUUGUUUUUGUUGAAUCUUUGAUUAACAGUUUAUAAAUGCUGUAGCUCUGACUUUCUGAAGGAGUGAUAUUUUCCAGUUUGUAAAUCCAUUUUAAAAAUAAUAGUACUUACUGUUUUGCAUGUCUCUUUGGAAUGCAGUGUUUGUGUUUUAGCACUUCUAAAUCUACUGUGAUAGUAACUAUUUUAAACAUUUGGGUCAGUUUCACAGAUGGGGCUUUUCCUAGUCCCAGACUUUUGCAAUGCCAUAUAUCAGUGCCAUUGUUUUGUCUAAAGAUGUACUCCAGUGUUGUUUUUGUAAGGUAGGCUUGUUUGUAAAUUUUAUUUUUGUAAAAAUAUCCUAAUAUAACUAGGGCCUAGUCAUGGAUUAAUCUACAACCUGUUUGGGAAAUUGCCCCUUUAUGUAUGUACUGCAUGUGCUGAUUGUUGUAAUAUUAAUUCAAUAACAGUCAAUAACUAUGUAGUGAUUUAAAUGAAUUGAUGAUCUGAAAGCAGUGGUUUGCCUCAAUAUCACUAAACAUUUGUACAAAACUCUUUGCUUUUUAUGCCAAUGCAAAUGUAUUUUGUAUUUUAAAAAAAUAAAUAACAUUUGGAUAAUUAUGGGUGAUUAUUCUGGUGCCAGAGACAUAAUGAAAUUGCUUUAGAGUUACAUAAUCCCAUAAU